GAUGAACGCUGGCGGCGUGCCUAAUACAUGCAAGUCGAGCGAACAGAUGAGGAGCUUGCUCCUCUGACGUUAGCGGCGGACGGGUGAGUAACACGUGGAUAACCUACCUAUAAGACUGGGAUAACUUCGGGAAACCGGAGCUAAUACCGGAUAAUAUAUUGAACCGCAUGGUUCAAUAGUGAAAGACGGUUUUGCUGUCACUUAUAGAUGGAUCCGCGCCGCAUUAGCUAGUUGGUAAGGUAACGGCUUACCAAGGCAACGAUGCGUAGCCGACCUGAGAGGGUGAUCGGACACACUGGAACUGAGACACGGUCCAGACUCCUACGGGAGGCAGCAGUAGGGAAUCUUCCGCAAUGGGCGAAAGCCUGACGGAGCAACGCCGCGUGAGUGAUGAAGGUCUUCGGAUCGUAAAACUCUGUUAUUAGGGAAGAACAAAUGUGUAAGUAACUAUGCACGUCUUGACGGUACCUAAUCAGAAAGACACGGCUAACUACGUG
rnacentral:rRNA from 1 species